GCUGGGCAUGGUGGCACAUGCCUGUUGUUCUAACUACUCAGGAGGCUGAGGUGGGAGGAUCACUUGAGCCCAGGAAUUCAAGGCUGCAGUGAGCUGAUUGCCCUACUGCACUCUGGCCUGGGCAACAGAGUGAGUCCCUGUCUCAA
ensembl:misc_RNA Metazoa_SRP Metazoan signal recognition particle RNA